rnacentral:lncRNA from 1 species
GAUGGAGUCUGCCCCAGGAUGACUUUUGACUUCCUCGUCUUGCCCAGUGCCCUGCCUUCAGCUAAAAACUGAGUUUCUCCCUAUGGGUUUCCACCUUUCAAAGCCCAUCUUCACUGUCACUUUGUCCAGGGAGCCAUCCCUGAUUCUCCCAGGUGGAGAAACUGAGGCUCAGAUAAAUGACUAAGAAGUAAAGUGAGGUCCCAUAGCCAGUGAAUGGCAGAGCAGGGAUUCGAACCCAGGUCUCUCAUCUGGGAAGUGGGAUGAUAGCGCCAACCUAGCUGGAUUGCUGUGACUGCCAGCACAAUGCCUUCUAAGGGUUCAAGAUGAGAUUACUUAGUCCCAGAUGGGUUAAGUAACUGGCCCAAGGUCACAGCGCUGGUAAGCAACUGGGCUUCAAUCCAACCAUCCUGACUCCAGAAGCCUCUUUGAACUACCACCUUCUGCACCUGCCCCAGGGCUUCUUCGCCUGAGCCGGUGCCUUGCUGCCGCCCUGCUCAUCUCUUCUGGGAAGAUGCCUCUCAUCUUGCCAGUCCUCAAGCCAGAAGCCUCCGGUGCUGCCCUAGGGCUCCCUGAAUAGGCAUCCCUAAGGCAUCCCUCCUGGUGUUCAAACCACAUCCUUCCUGGCUAAGCUUCCAUUCCCCAGGGUAGCCCUCCACACUUUGGAGCCUCAGCUCACCUCUCACUCUCACACUUCAGUUUCACACUUCCCUUCUGAAUGGUCCCACCUCUGUGCUUUUGCUUAAGCUGUGCACACUUCCCAGAGUGCUCUUUCCCCUAUGUCUGCCUGUGCUCCAAUACCCUAUGCCUGAGCUGACCCAUGACAUACAAGCACCUACAGAGGCCUGGGGGAAGGAGGCAGUGGUAUGUGUGUCAGUGUGGGGAGUCAGUGAAGAGGUUUGGGGCUUUAGGGUCAGUUAUGUGACUUCAGGGCAAGUCCCCAUCUCCCUGAACCCCAGUUUCUGCAAAAUGAAGAUAUCCAUCCCAGCUUC